rnacentral:rRNA from 1 species
GAGACAGCAGCCGCCGCGGUAAAACGGAGGGUGCAAGCGUUAAUCGGAAUUACUGGGCGUAAAGCGCACGCAGGCGGUCUGUCAAGUCAGAUGUGAAAUCCCCGGGCUUAACCUGGGAACUGCAUUUGAAACUGGCAGACUGGAGUCUUGUAGAGGGGGGUAGAAUUCCAGGUGUAGCGGUGAAAUGCGUAGAGAUCUGGAGGAAUACCGGUGGCGAAGGCGGCCCCCUGGACAAAGACUGACGCUCAGGUGCGAAAGCGUGGGGAGCAAACAGGAUUAGAUACCCCGGUAGUCCCUGUCUCUUAUAC